rnacentral:rRNA from 1 species
UACGUAGGGAGCAAGCGUUGUUCGGAAUUUAUUGGGCGUAAAGAGCGCGUAGGCGGCCGUGUAAGUCUGAUGUGAAAUCCCACAGCUCAACUGUGGAACUGCAGUGGAAACUGCUUGACUAGAGUGCGGGAGAGGAGAAUGGAAUUCCCAGUGUAGAGGUGAAAUUCGUAGAUAUUGGGAGGAACCCCAGUAGCGAAGGCGGCUCUCUGGACCGCACCUGACGGUGAGGCGCGAAAGCUAGGGGAGCGAACGGGAUUAGAUACCCCGGUAGUCCUAGCCGUAAACGAUGGGCACUAGGUGUGGGUGGUAUCGACCCCUUUUGUACUGUAGCUAACGCAUUAAGUGCCCCGCCUGGGGAGUACGGUCGCAAGACUAGAACUCAAAGGAAUUGACGGGGGCCCGCACAAGCGGUGGAGCAUGUGGUUUAAUUUGACGCAACGCGAAGAACCUUACCUGGGUUUGACAUCCCGCGAAGGUAACAGAAAUGUUGCCGUCCCUUCGGGGACGCGGAGACAGCUGGUGCAUGGCGGUCGUCAGCUCGUGUCGUGAGGUGUUGGGUUAAGUCCUGCAACGAGCGCAACCCUUGUCCUUAGUUGCCAGCACGUAAUGGUGGGACCUUUAAGGAGACCGCCGGGGACAAACCGGAGGAAGGUGGGGAAGACGUCAAGUCAUCAUGGCCCUUACGGCCAGGGCUACCCACGUACUACAAUGGUAGGGACAGAGGGGUGCAAGCCGGCGACGGUAAGCCAAUCCCAGAAACCCUAUCUCAGUCCGGAUUGGAGUUUGCAACUUGACUCCCAGAAGUCGGAAUCGCUAGUAAUCGCAGAUCAGCAUUGCCGCGGUGAACACGUUCCCGGGCC